rnacentral:rRNA from 1 species
CCUACGGGUGGCAGCAGUGGGGAAUAUUGGACAAUGGGCGAAAGCCUGAUCCAGCCAUGCCGCGUGUGUGAAGAGGGCCUUCGGGUUGUAAAGCACUUUCAGUGGGGAAGAAAGCCUUGGGGCUAAUACCCUCGAGGAAGGACAUCACCCACAGAAGAAGCACCGGCUAACUCCGUGCCAGCAGCCGCGGUAAUACGGAGGGUGCGAGCGUUAAUCGGAAUUACUGGGCGUAAAGCGCGCGUAGGCGGUCUGAUAAGCCGGUUGUGAAAGCCCCGGGCUCAACCUGGGAACGGCAUCCGGAACUGUCAGGCUAGAGUGCAGGAGAGGAAGGUAGAAUUCCCGGUGUAGCGGUGAAAUGCGUAGAGAUCGGGAGGAAUACCAGUGGCGAAGGCGGCCUUCUGGACUGACACUGACGCUGAGGUGCGAAAGCGUGGGUAGCAAACAGGAUUAGAUACCCUAGUAGUC